rnacentral:rRNA from 1 species
UACGGGGGGGGUAAGCGUUGUUCGGAAUUACUGGGCGUAAAGGGCUCGUAGGCGGCCAACUAAGUCAUACGUGAAAUCCCUCAGCUUAACUGGGGAACUGCGUGUGAUACUGGAUGGCCUGGAUUUGGGAGAGGGAUGCGGAAUUCCAGGCGUAGCGGUGAAAUGCGUAGAUAUCUGGAGGAAUACCGGUGGCGAAGGCGGCAUCCUGGACCGACAUUGACGCUGAGGAGCGAAAGCUAGGGGAGCAAACGGG